rnacentral:tRNA from 1 species
GGAGAGCUAGUCCUAAUUGGUAAGGCGUCGGUCUUGAAAACCGAUGGGCGAAAGCCCUUGGGAGUUCGAGUCUCCCGCUCUCCG